rnacentral:rRNA from 1 species
GAUGAAUGCUGGCGGCGUGCCUAACACAUGCAAGUCGAGCGGCAGCGCGAGUAGUUUACUACUUGGCGGCGAGCGGCGGACGGCUGAGUAACGCGUGGGAACGUGCCCCAAAGUGAGGGAUAACGCACCGAACGGCGUGCUAAUACCGCAUAUGAUCUUCGGAUUAAAGAAUUUAUUCGCUUUGGGAGCGGCCCGCGUCGGAUUAGGUAGUUGGUAGGGUAAUGGCCUACCAAGCCGACGAUCCGUAGCUGGUCUGAGAGGAUGACCAGCCAGACUGGAACUGAGACACGGUCCAGACUCCUACGGGAGGCAGCAGUGAGGAAUCUUCCACAAUGGGCGAAAGCCUGAUGGAGCAACGCCGCGUGCAGGAUGAAGGCCUCCGGGUUGUAAACUGCUUUUAUAAGUGAAGAAUAUGACGGUAACUUAUGAAUAAGCACCGGCUAACUACGUGCCAGCAGCCGCCGUAA